rnacentral:rRNA from 1 species
UACGUAGGGUGCGAGCGUUGUCCGGAAUUAUUGGGCGUAAAGGGCUCGUAGGCGGUGUGUCGCGUCGGCCGUGAAAACCUGCAGCUUAACUGUGGGCUUGCGGUCGAUACGGGCAUCACUGGAGUUCGGCAGGGGAGACUGGAAUUCCUGGUGUAGCGGUGAAAUGCGCAGAUAUCAGGGGGAACACCGGUGGCGAAGGCGGGUCUCCGGGCCGAUACUGACGCUGAGGAGCGAAAGCGUGGGGAGCGAACAGG